rnacentral:lncRNA from 1 species
AUUUUUCCUUACUCACUAGCCUUGAAAGAAUUGAAAGAAAUUGAAAGAAAUUUCUUUCUAUUGAAAGAAAUAAUAGAAAUGUUUAUUUUAGGCUCAUUAGGAGAUAGGUCCAUUCUGUCAAGAUUAUGAUCUUUUAUUGAAUGGAGUUUCAUCUCAAAUGAUUUUACUUCUUCAAGCAAAUGUUUCUGCAGAUCUUGGGCCCAAGGGAAAGCAACAACACCAGCCCCUAAGCUAAACUGGCAGAGUGAGACAUGUUUGAUUACUAAAUAGGAAGGUACCAGUUUUGGUACCCCUUAAUCCCAUGUACUUGCCACAUACCGGGAGCACACAGC